rnacentral:rRNA from 1 species
CCUACGGGAGGCAGCAGUAGGGAAUUUUGCGCAAUGGGGGAAACCCUGACGCAGCAACGCCGCGUGAUCGAUGAAGCCCUUCGGGGUGGAAAGAUCUGUCAGUGGGGACGAAACCUGACGGUACCCACAGUGGAUGCACCGGCUAACUCCGUGCCAGCAGCCGCGGUAAUACGGGGGGUGCAAGCGUUGUCCGGAAUCAUUGGGCGUAAAGGGUUCGUAGGUGGCACGUUAAGUCUGGUGUGAAAGGUGGAAGCUCAACUUUCGUAGGGCAAUGGAUACUGGCGAGCUUGAAUACGGUAGAGGUAGAGGGAAUUCCUGGUGUAGCGGUGAAAUGCGUAGAUAUCAGGAGGAACAUCGAUGGCGUAAGCGCUUUACUGAGCCGUAAUUGACACUGAGGAACGAAAGCCGGGGUAGCAAAUGGGAUUAGAUACCCUAGUAGUC